UGGAUACCUUCUGGACAGAUCUUUAAUACUAAAAUUGGAAUUAUACAGAGAAAAUUAGAAUGGCCCCUGCACAAGGAUGACACACAGAUUCAGAAAGUGGUUCAUAUAGUU